UGGGGGCUAGCUACAGGCUUAACACAUGCAAGUCGAGCGGAAACGAUAUUGGAAGCUUGCUUCCGAUAGGCGUCGACCGGCGCACGGGUGAGUAACGCGUAUCCAACCUGCCCAUCACUUGGGGAUAACCUUGCGAAAGUAAGACUAAUACCCAAUGACGUCCAUAGAAGACAUCUGAAGUGGAUUAAAGAUUUAUCGGUGACGGAUGGGGAUGCGUCUGAUUAGCUUGUUGGCGGGGUAACGGCCCACCAAGGCGACGAUCAGUAGGGGUUCUGAGAGGAAGGUCCCCCACAUUGGAACUGAGACACGGUCCAAACUCCUACGGGAGGCAGCAGUGAGGAAUAUUGGUCAAUGGACGAGAGUCUGAACCAGCCAAGUAGCGUGCAGGAAGACGGCCCUAUGGGUUGUAAACUGCUUUUAUAAGGGAAUAAAGUGAGUCUCGUGAGACUUUUUGCAUGUACCUUAUGAAUAAGGACCGGCUAAUUCCGUGCCAGCAGCCGCGGUAAUACGGAAGGUCCGGGCGUUAUCCGGAUUUAUUGGGUUUAAAAGGGAGCGUAGGCCGGAGAUUAAGCGUGUUGUGAAAUGUAUACGCU
rnacentral:rRNA from 1 species